GAUGAACGCUAGCUACAGGCUUAACACAUGCAAGUCGAGGGACCGGCGCACGGGUGAGUAACACGUAUCCAACCUGCCCUUUACUCGGGGAUAGCCUUUCGAAAGAAAGAUUAAUACCCGAUGUAAAGGAUGGGGAUGCGUUCCAUUAGGUUGUUGGUGAGGUAACGGCUCACCAAGCCUUCGAUGGAUAGGGGUUCUGAGAGGAAGGUCCCCCAGAUUUGAACUGAGACACGGUCCACUCUCCGAGGCGAGGCAGCACUGAGGAAUAUUGGUCAAUGGGCGUUAGCCUGAACCAGCCAAGUAGCGUGAAGGAUGAAUGGUUUGGGGUCGUAAACUUCUUUUAUAUAAGAAUAGUUAUUAUAUGAAUAAGGAUCGGCUAACUCCGUGCCAGCAGCCGCGGUAAUAC
rnacentral:rRNA from 1 species